ACGCUAGCGGCAGGCCUAACACAUGCAAGUCGAGGGGUAGAUUUUCUUCGGAGAAUUGAGACCGGCGCACGGGUGCGUAACGCGUAUGCAACUUACCUUAUACUGGGGGAUAGCCCGGAGAAAUUCGGAUUAAUACCGCAUAUGCUCACAGUCUCGCAUGGGACGGUGAGGAAAGAUUUAUCGGUAUAAGAUAGGCAUGCGUCCUAUUAGCUUGUUGGUGAGGUAACGGCUCACCAAGGCGAUGAUAGGUAGGGGGCCUGAGAGGGUGGUCCCCCACACUGGUACUGAGACACGGACCAGACUCNUACGGGAGGCAGCAGUGAGGAAUAUUGGGCAAUGGAGGCAACUCUGACCCAGCUAUGCCGCGUGAAGGAUGAAGGUCCUCUGGAUUGUAAACUUCUUUUGUAUGGGGAUAAACUUUUCUACGUGUAGAAAACUGAAGGUACCAUACGAAUAAGGAUCGGCUAACUCCGUGCCAGCAGCCGCGGUAAUACGGAGGAUCCAAGCGUUAUCCGGAUUUAUUGGGUUUAAAGGGUCCGUAGGCGGGUCUUUAAGUCAGUGGUGAAAGCCUGCAGCUUAACUGUGGAAAUGCCAUUGAUACUGGAGGCCUUGAGUGUAGUAGAAGUAGGCGGAAUAGGGCAUGUAGCGGUGAAAUGCAUAGAUAUGCCCUAGAACACCGAUUGCGAAGGCAGCUUUACUAUGUUACAACUGACGCUGAGGGGACGAAAGCGUGGGGGAGCAAACAGGAUUAGAUACCCUGGUAGUCCACGCCGUAAACGAUGAUUACUCGUUGUUGGCGAUAUACAGUCA
rnacentral:rRNA from 1 species